UUGGCAUGCUUGUUAGAGGGUCUUAUGCUACUAUUUAUGCGAAGCGAAUGUGGUUGACUGGUUUUGUGUUGGUUGUCUAAGUUUGCUGCUAUUUGUUAUGUGCGCCACUAGUUGGUACUUUCUGGUAGUUAUCAGGCCUUGCUUAUUGAAAUAUUCAGUUUAUUUCACUUGCAUUAUUCCUCUGUCCAGCUGAGAAGAAUGAAUUUCUUUGAUAUAAAGACGUGCCUUUCUGGUUUACUUGUGAGAUUUGUUUUGUUGAGUUAAUUAAUCUCAACCUUCAACUAGAAUUUGAUCCAAUGUGGGUUUGACCUAGGGCUUGAGUUCUUGUUAUGUAAUAGGUUUUUGUUAGAGCUGAUCUGGACUAGAUCAAAGUGGUUGAUCUACUUUGCGAUUCAACGCAAUAUAUGUUGCCUUGGAUAAAUUAUGUAUGUUGCCUUAAAGAUGCUUGCUGAAUUGGUGCCUGACUUGGAAAUUGGUUCAUCAAUUCCAUCUUUUAACAAGAAAGAAAUAUGGGUCUAGUUGAACUUCAUGUAAAGGGAACUAUGAACACAAUCGCAUGCAGUAUAACACUUAUCUUCUGUGCAUUUUGAUGAUUUUGUUCAUCUUUGCUAUUACAUUAAUUUCGUAGGAACUUGUUUUAGAUUGUGAUGGCUUGUUUCUUGUUUCAAGUGCUAGGCUGUUUCAUUGAUGGUCUUCUUAUCCUUCAAGCUAUACAAUGUCUCUAUUUCGAGUUGCUGUUGCAGUUCGAGAUCAAGUGUCGUGUCUCUAUGUGAUGGAUCCGAAGGCUGGGUUAAGGAGGUGCCCACGCUGUGUAGGAACUUGGAGAGCCUGCAGGGAUAUGAGGAGUGUAAGAUAUCUAGAUGGUGUCCAUGCUACCUAGGUGGACCGGAAACCACUUGGACUCGGUGACGGAGUGGUGGACAGUGUGGGCAUCGACUCAGUGAUGAUAAGCAGCUGGCUGCACUACACCCCCUGCGUGGUGGUUCAGGUCGGUGAAGUAUCUGAGUUAGGGUGAGGGCGUGGAGGAGGAAGAGAAGCUGGAGUUUUAAGAGAAGGAUGAGCUGUAGUCGUCUGUCUAUCUUCUCGCUCAUGAGUUGAUUGCUGAAAAUGUUGUGAUUUAUAUGUGUUUUUCCUGUGGGUCUGGGGCUAUGUAUACACGGUGCCUUUCGUAGGUUUCCACCAUGUAGCUGGUGUGGUGAUCUACUUCGUACAUGUAGAUAGCAUCUGUGCGUGUUUAAAAUCAAAUAAAUGCUUCUGUUUUGCUGAAAGCUUUAAUCAAUGCUUAUAUGGUUCACUCAGGCUGAUGUAAACAAUAGAUAUUAAGAUGGUUUGAAGCAAAAAUACACAAGAUGAA